rnacentral:rRNA from 1 species
UACAGAGGGGGCAAGCGUUAUUCGGAAUUAUUGGGCGUAAAGGGCGCGUAGGCGGCUUGGCAAGUGGAUGGUGAAAUCCCUCGGCUUAACCGAGGAACUGCCGUCCAAACUGCUUCGCUUGAGACCGGGAGAGGUGAGUGGAAUUCCCAGUGUAGCGGUGAAAUGCGUAGAUAUUGGGAGGAACACCAGUGGCGAAGGCGGCUCACUGGACCAGUACUGGCGCUGAUGCGCGAAAGCCAAGGGGAGGCGAA